AACGAACGCUGGCGGCAGGCUUAACACAUGCAAGUCGAACGCCCCGCAAGGGGAGUGGCAGACGGGUGAGUAACGCGUGGGAACAUACCUUUUCCUGCGGAAUAGCUCCGGGAAACUGGAAUUAAUACCGCAUACGCCCUACGGGGGAAAGAUUUAUCGGGGAAGGAUUGGCCCGCGUUGGAUUAGCUAGUUGGUGGGGUAAAGGCCUACCAAGGCGACGAUCCAUAGCUGGUCUGAGAGGAUGAUCAGCCACAUUGGGACUGAGACACGGCCCAAACUCCUACGGGAGGCAGCAGUGGGGAAUAUUGGACAAUGGGCGCAAGCCUGAUCCAGCCAUGCCGCGUGAGUGAUGAAGGCCUUAGGGUCGUAAAGCUCUUUCACCGAUGAAGAUAAUGACGGUAGUCGGAGAAGAAGCCCCGGCUAACUUCGUGCCAGCCGCCGCCGUAACAC
rnacentral:rRNA from 1 species